UGAGCAGCAGAUGCACUCGAUAGGGCUUCAUUUCCAGCAGACCACAACCUCAUGACAAAUGGACGUUCUGACUCCAGUGACAUUGACAAUCCUUCCCAGCUGCUAAGAGAGAGAAACAAGAGAUGAGAUCUUGCUAUUUUGUCAAGGAUGCGGGGCACGCAUUUUAAAUCUGCACAAAACUCUUCCGGAAGCCCAAGGCUUUGCAUGCAUUGUGAACUGAGGUGUAAGCUGAACAUACAACAGGCAGGUUUUCAUCAUUGAGGAGAGACACAUACCUGUCCAGUGGCUACAUAGUCCUUCACCGGAUGGAUGGUCAGGCUGAGAAUGUCAUCAUCGUGCCCCAGAACUAUAUAGGACAGCAAAAGGAGAGGACUGAGCAGCAUGUUCUAUGUGAGACAGGUGAAAAAUAAGUGCAGACACAAGAAAAUGGAAGUGUCUGGAGAAGAGGUAAGAAAAUCCACUAGCUAAGCAGCAUCGAGAGUCCAGAGAAAGUCUUUACCCACUCAAACAGCUUACCUUUUUUGAG